GUGAGCUGACCUUUCCCGCCUCUUCCUCCAGGAGCGUCAGGACCCAAGCUGGAGGACGCCAUGGGACUUCUCCUCUGCGCCUUCAUCCUCUACGGGGCCCUCAAGAUGUUGCACCAAUGGCUCUUCCCCCAAGUGAACCAGCCCAGAGUGAACUCAGAGGAAGAUCUCAAGAUGAAAAACUAACCCUGUGAACUGCGGCCAUAAGGCAGGGAUCCUCGUUCGUGACAUCUUUGCUAAUCACGUCUAUGGAAAGGAGACUCGACCCUUCUCCUGUUACCUGUUGGACCCCCACCCCCCCCCCCCCCCCCCCAUGCUUCAAGACCGGGUGAUGGAUGGUGCUGAGUGUGGGCUUCUAUCGAGUUGUAUACAAUUAUUUUCAGCGAGUGCACUGAUACUGAUUAAACUGCGUCUGCGUUUGUUUCUACC